rnacentral:rRNA from 1 species
CCUACGGGGGGCAGCAGUGGGGGAUAUUGCACAAUGGGGGGAACCCUGAUGCAGCGACGCCGCGUGGGUGAAGGAGCGUUUCGGCGCGUAAAGCCCUAUCGGCAGGGAAGAAGAAGGACGGUACCUGAGUAAGAAGCCCCGGCUAACUACGUGCCAGCAGCCGCGGUAAUACGGAGGGGGCAAGCGUUAUCCGGAUUUACUGGGUGUAAAGGGAGCGUAGACGGCAGUGCAAGUCUGGAGUGAAAGGCGGGGGCUCAACCCCCGGACUGCUCUGGAAACUGUACGGCGGGAGUGCAGGAGAGGUAAGUGGAAUUCGUAGUGUAGCGGUGAAAUGCGUAGAUAUGAGGAGGAACACCAGUGGCGAAGGCGGCUUACUGGACUGUAACUGACGUUGAGGCUCGAAAGCGUGGGGAGCAAACAGGAUUAGAUACCCGAGUAGUC